ensembl:lncRNA
GUAGUGAUCCUGGAAGUGGUCACUCUGGUCUUGCCUAUGCUCCCACUGUAUCUGCUGUGACCGCUUCCUCUGUUACAGGAUUGUAACCAUGUCCUCUCCAAAUUCCGAGCUGCCCAAAUAAAACAAUUGCGUCUCUUUUUAUCAUCAUUUUUCUCUCCCCCUUUCAAUCCUCCCAUCCCUGCUCCACGGCAUCUGCCGCAGAUGGGAGAGCUCUGGAUGGAACGUAGGUGCACACAAAUGCCAAGGAGAGUGGCCAGCACUUACUGCACACUUACCAUGUGCCAGGCCCCAAGCGGAGUCCUUUAUGUGCACCACCUCGUCGAAUGCUCCCUGCAACGCCGAGAGAACUGCCCCCAUUUGUUCUGCCACAUGCCCAUGUGGGUGAGCAGUGCGGGAUAGGUUGCCGAGAGACCAAAGACCCAGAGACAGCAAAUGAGACAUAUGGGCUUAUUGGGAGUUACUUACAGGGAAGGUCCAGUGGCGGCCAACUGGACAGCAACGUGCACCCGCUACCGCCCCCUGAGAGAAGCUUAAGUAGGCAGAGGAACAAAGGCUGCAUGCUUGCCAAGGGGGAUUGUCCCUGUAUGACCUGCAUUCCAAGGACCAGAGCGCCCCCAGAGAGCCUCUAUGUUCCCUCAGACCACAAGGGUCUCGGUGCUAACUCUCCCAUGAGAGCAGCUGGGUUGGCCAAGUCCAAGAUUGUUAUCAUCUUGAGUGUUGGCACAUAGCCCAGACAGGAGCCUUAAGGACACAUGGUCUUUAAAGGGGCACGCCAGCUACUGCCCCUAUAUCAUUUUACAGGGGAAGAAACUGGGGCCAAGUAACUAGCUCAAGGACUCACUGCUAGUAAAUGAUAGAGUCAGGAUUCACACCCAGGUCUAAUUUGACUCUAAGUCAGUGGUUCUCAGUGGACCACCAGCAUGCCCUGGGAACUUGUUGGAAAUGCAGAUUCUCAGGCUCCACCUGAGACCUGUUGAAUCAAAAUGCUGGGAGGUGAGCUCAACAAAGCUUUAACAAGCCCUCCAGGUGGUUCCAAUGUUUGAUUCUCAGGCUUGAAAACCACUGCCCUCACUGCUCCUUCACAGCCUCCCUUAUAGCCGGCACUCUGUGUGGACAGCCUUCUAGGAAAGGUGUGAGGUCCCUGCUCCUGGACAGGGGAAGGGGUUCUGAGGCGUAGGACCCUCUGGCCAGGGAGGCCUCCUGUAAGGUCACUGGAACUGACCCUGUCUCAAUAAGAGCGAAUACUCUGUCUUCUCCAAACUCAGGGUUUCUCUUGGUGGUCAGAGGAGGCUGCUUGCUGCCUGCCAGGCCUCACCUGGGGGCUCCUGAUUAAAGCCCCCGGCAGGACUUGGUUCUGUGACAGGGACUUCCUGGAGCUCAGCUUGGCUAGAAUCUGCCUGGAGAAUGAGAGGGCCUAGAAGUUGCCCAGAAGCUUCUGGACUCAAAAGGCAAAAGGGAGUAUGUUGGUGGUCACCUAUUGCACCUGCCACUCAUGGCGGAGAAACGCCCUGCCCCCAAGCACAGCUCAACUCUGACCUCCCGGGCCCCGGACCGAAGCCUUUGGUGGGAGGCUGAGCCAGCAGCUGUGGAGUUCGUCCUGUCCAGGUGUCCACCAGCCUGGCACGUGGCAGAGGUCCAGCCACGCUUCCAUCAGGCACUGAUCCCCUCCUGCCACCUCAGCCUCUGCACACACGGUGAAUAAGCUCAGGUUGGAGUCACAAGGAACAAGAUCCACGCCCUGGUUUCUGCCAGGUGCUAGGACUGCCCCUGUCCAGAGAUGCCCAGACAGAAGGUGACUGACAGAAAGGGUCAAGAGCAAGGCAGUCGGAUGCCAGCCCAGAAACUUCCCCCGGAGCACCUCUCAAUGCCGUUCUGACCGGGAAGCCGCGUUGUGGCUAAGUGGUUAAGACUUUUGCCUGUGGAGACAGGCUGCCUGGCCAGCCUCGAAUCUUGGCAGGUUUCUUUACCUAUCAAGUCAACACCAAAAUAGUACCACAAAAGGGUUGUCAUGAGGAACAAACAAGAGAAUCCGUGGGAAGUGCUUUAGACCCAUGCCCAGCUUUGUAAGCUCUUAAAGAAAUCCUUGCUGAACCCAUUCCCAUGAUUAGGAGGCAAACUGGCACUUUUCAGCUUUCUCCAGCACCCCCUCGUUGCCUGUGGUUGGGGGAAGGUGGUAGAUCGCGAGGUGAGAGGCUGGGACCUGGUGUGUUCAGCAUGAGUUUGCAGGACACUCUCAGCGAGCCCCUGCUGAUGCUGGGGUGGUCCGGAUCUUGUGGAUCCAGGCAGUAUGGGCAGCUGGUGGGGCACCAGGUGACAUCCCAGCAUACACGGGAUGGGAGGCGUUCUUCCCCAGCUCCCCUCUUGGUACCCUGGGAUCCCUGGUAUUCUAUGUCCUUCUUUCCCAGCCUGCGCUUGUCACUUUCUUGGCUUCUGCAACACCACACUUGCCUGAUGCUCUCCUUCUCUCAUUGUCUUUUCUGGGCCCUCCUCACUGUCUCGUGUGCUUAGGGCUUACACCCCGGACCCUUCAUUUCUCUCCUGUCUCCACUCCCUCCCUUUGGCCUCAUCCAUUCUGGUAGAUAUAAGCACCAUCUCCAGUCCUAGCUGCACCCUAGAACUCCAGACCCACAACUGCUUCCCCAGCCCCUCAACUUGACAUGUCCAGGCUGGAGCUCUAAUCUCACCCUCUGGUCCUGCUCCGCCCCCUGCCGGGAGUGCAGCCCAGCCUUCCAGUUGUUCAGGCCAGGAGCCUGGGAUUGACUCGAGCUGUCUUGACUCGGUUUUCUUCUCUCUCCCACUCUGACCUGAGAGGCACAUGUACAGCUUUUCAGAAGCCCCCCAGUUUUGAGUGUACCUCCCAGAGAUUCUGAUGUGACUGUUUGCUGGUGGGGCCUGGCAUUUGUUUAUUUUAAAAGCUCCCAGGUGACUCAGGUUGCUUAUUCAUUCAUUCACUCAUUCACAAGCCUUUGUUCUGUGACCACUGUGUGCCAGGCACUAGAAGUCUAGCCCUUAAGCUGAGCACUUCUGAAGUAUAAGCACAUAGUGGGUACUCGUGUUUUGCUGGGUGAAGGUGCAUCCGAUGGAGGUGGUGACCCUGACCCCUCUCCCCCUAACAGAGAACCAAUAAGAUGGCUGGGUGACAGAGGGGCUGUGCAAGUCCUCAGACUCCCCCACCCACCAUAGUCCCUGUGUCCUCCCCCCACCCAGCUCCCUGGAAGCCAGGCGCACACCGCCAUGGCUGGCAGGGGGCUGUUCAGGGUCUGGCGGCCUGGGAAGCUCGGUUGUUGCCAUGGUGAUGAUGUGCGUCUGUUCAGCAGAGAACUUUGAAGUUGACUUGGAUGUGGGACAACAAAGGCGCCUCCAUCUUGGAUGCAAAUUGUGGCUUCCUUUCAUCCUCCUGGGCCCUUUCCUGCUCUGCUUUUGUUCUUGCCAUUUAGAUCAGAGAAUAAAACCCUUUCAAAUGUUGUAAAUUCAAAACAUAGGCAAUUAAGGGGCCUCUCAGAGGUUCAAGCCCCCCUUAGUCUCUUUAAGAAGCAGUUGCAUGUGUAGAAAAACAGAUGAUUGUGAAAAGGGAGUCAGCAUCUCCUGGAUGUUACAAUCCAACCAACAUCUACUGAGCGCCUACUGUGUGCCAGGCCCCGGGGGACUGGGGAUCUGGUGUGGUACAGGACCCACCAAAUCUCUGUUCCUCAGAGCUUACUUUCAGGACCAUGGCUCUGUGCCUCAGUUUCCCCAGUGUACAAGGAGGCUGAAGUAGCCCAGGGGUUUUCAUAUGGUGUUUUCUGAAACCCAGGCGAAGGUCCCAGUCGCUUCCCCCCAUUUUGGCCUGAAGAGCUUUGCUUUGCUCUGGUUUUAUGUACUCUGUUCCCUAUAAUAUUGUGUUUGAAGAAAGAAGUCCAAAACUGAAAAAAAAACCCAAAAAACAAAGGGUGGGAUGGAAAUGAAAACCACUGGUCAAGGAUUCCCUAAGGCUUUUUCUAGAAGGAAUGUUCUGUGAUGCUCACCACUAAGGAGACUGCAGAUUCCCCGGGCUGUUCGGCCACAUAGAGACUCACACACAGAAGGCAAGCUGCCUUUAGGAUGUACACCCACCUGGAUGGCUGACAUCCUGCCUUCAUUUUAAAUAAAGUAAGAAGCCUCAGACAGGGUUGGAAAGAGCAAAUCCUGUUACGUUUCUCACCCAGUAGACCCAGGGCUUCACUUCUAAGGCAUCUGUCCUUCUCAGACUCUGGACCCGCCCUCGCCCCUUCCUCAGGGAGCUUUGCCUGGCCGGCAGCCUGCAGGGCCCACGCCCUCCUCCGAGCUCCCCUGGCCCACCCUGGCCUCCACACAUCCACCAGGGAGGACCUGGGGCCUGUCUUGUCUCCCCAGCGGGACCACGUGUUCUCACAGCGCGAUGUGUCCUGAAGAAAUGUAAUUUGAUGAGCAACUGGGCGCCCCGCUGGUACUGCUUGUUCUCUGGGCCCUGCCCCUCACCCUGUACCUUGCCUCGGUUGUCUCCUGAAGUGCAGGAGAGCCUGGUGGGCAGUGCGCAGAGCCACCUGCCUUCCCUCCCUCGGCAGCACCCUCCCCUCCUCCUUCCCAACAGGUGACUGAGAGACACCAGGCCUGAUUACAGCGGUGACAUGAGUCUUUCCCAAAAGCCAUUUAUACUGUCUGGGUGGGGAACCGGGAAGUAGGUCGGGGACCAUGUUUUAUUGACUAUCUCUUGUCUUGAGGAGCCACAGGAAAGCUUUAUUAACACAACCAGACAAUCUCAUUUAGGGCCAUUGCACGGCCUGGGCCCACUCGAGGUUCAAGCCGGUAUUUUACCCCGGGCUGAGUCUUCUCGUAUUGAUUUCUUUAGAAGGCACGUUACCUUUCUCCCUGAAGGCCAAGCUGAUGCAAAGAGCAAAGAGAGAUUCUGGACUGGAGAACCACUUCUAGCAAAACACCCUGAGCUUGGCGAAGUCGCCCCCCCUGUGUGGGGCUGUUGAAAUUGUGCUCUGUGCUUGAUCAUCGUGGGAUCCAUCCAGAGAUCAGAGGCUCCCAGGGGGCUGAGGCCGUGUCUCCCACUUCGCUCUGCACGGUUCCAGGCGCACAGUGGGCCUGCAGUAGAGACAGGAGUAGGGACUGUCUGCUGCCGGGCAUGUAGGACAGCAGCCUCUUGGCGUCAACAGCUUUGGGGAACCCCUUCCUUCUGGUGAUGUGGAGGUUAGCGUCUCCAGCAUCCCAGGGCUGCCACCCAGCCCCUCCCUCACCCUCUGGGGAACGUGAGCUGUGGGGAGCAGAGGGGAUGGAGCAUGUCAAGAUCUGCCACAGGCUGGUGGGUGGGGCACACAGUUUACAACCCACCUUCUCAUCCGGCUGCCACAGCCCAGGGAUAAGCCCCGGAAGUGGGAACUGCUGCUGACACAUUUGGAGGAAAUGGCAUCUUUGCUUGUGAAUCUCAAUACAAGUGGUUUUCAUCCAGGGACACUUGGCCCCUGAGAAAUCCUCCAGCCACCAGCGAGAGGGAAGGUUUCCGUGGAGCACACACCCACACGGCCUUUUCACACAGCGUUUCCCUGAGGCUUUCGUAACUCCCCCACUCUAGAGAGGAGUGGUCCUCAUUCUCCAGAAGAGGGAGGAAGCCCUGCAGAAGGUGAUGACUGCCCACAGAUGGGUUUCCAGAAGGCGGACGGCCCGGGCGGGGCCCUAAGCAAGGCAGAUGGCGCCUGCCCACCUGGGUGGUGGACAUCAGUCUCCCUGGCCUUCAGGGUGGCCCUCUGCCCGAGGAUCCUGUGGCAUGGCUUCCCUUGGCAGUGACUCCACGUCACUCAGGCCUGAGGCCUAACAGUUCCCCCUUCCCACUCCCCAUUCCAGUCCUCCUCGAGCCUGGGACUUUGUUCUGAGCCCUCUUCCUCCCUCCUUGCCUCCGACAAGCCCACACUGCCACAUGCGCCCCGACAGCAGCAUUAACUUCCCAUCCCCCACUUGGGGCCUCCCACUCGCCCCAGAAUACCGUGGAGCCAUGUGGACUUGGAUAUGGGAUUUCACCCCAUACCUGUGGUAUAUUGAUGAGCGCCCCGCCCCCACUGCACCUACCUCCCUGAGGGCAGGACAACUGGUUUGCUCAGCACUAUGUCCUCAGAGCCUAGCACAAGGCUAGGCACAUAGUGGGUGCUCAAUAAAAAUGAAUGAAUGAACAUCAGACAACACAAGAGGGGCCUUAAAUAUGUGGCCAGACUUCAGGCCACAGGAAGGCCUCCCAGAGGAGGCCACACCCCUGGUGUUGGGCUGGAAGGCUGAGCCAGGGUCUGGACCUGGGAG